CCUACGGGCGGCAGCAGUGAGGAAUAUUGGUCAAUGGACGAGAGUCUGAACCAGCCAAGUAGCGUGAAGGAUGACUGCCCUAUGGGUUGUAAACUUCUUUUAUAUGGGAAUAAAACGUUCCACGUGUGGGAUUUUGUAUGUACCAUAUGAAUAAGGAUCGGCUAACUCCGUGCCAGCAGCCGCGGUAAUACGGAGGAUCCGAGCGUUAUCCGGAUUUAUUGGGUUUAAAGGGAGCGUAGGUGGAUUGUUAAGUCAGUUGUGAAAGUUUGCGGCUCAACCGUAAAAUUGCAGUUGAAACUGGCAGUCUUGAGUACAGUAGAGGUGGGCGGAAUUCGUGGUGUAGCGGUGAAAUGCUUAGAUAUCACGAAGAACUCCGAUUGCGAAGGCAGUUCACUGGACUGUAACUGACACUGAGGCUCGAAAGUGUGGGUAUCAAACAGGAUUAGAUACCCCUGUAGUC
rnacentral:rRNA from 1 species